UGGGGAAUAUUGGGCAAUGGGGGAAACCCUGACCCAGCAACGCCGCGUGAGGGAAGAAGGUUUUCGGAUCGUAAAACUCUGUCUUCAGGGAAGAAAAAAAUGACGGUACCUGAGGAGGAAGCCCCGGCUAACUACGUGCCAGCAGCCGCGGUAAAACGUAGGGGGCGAGCGUUGUCCGGAAUUACUGGGCGUAAAGGGCGCGUAGGCGGUCAUUUAAGUCAGAGGUGAAAACUACCGGCUCAACCGGUAGCCUGCCUUUGAAACUGGAUGACUUGAGGGCAGGAGAGGGGAGUGGAAUUCCCAGUGUAGCGGUGAAAUGCGUAGAUAUUGGGAGGAACACCAGUGGCGAAGGCGGCUCUCUGGCCUGUUUCUGACGCUGAGGCGCGAAAGCGUGGGGAGCGAACAGG
rnacentral:rRNA from 2 species